CACCUAAUAUAUAGGUGUACAUCUUAUAUUUGUCUUUGAAGGUUGGUAUAUAUUCACUUUCUUGUAACAUCAAAUUUUUUAAAAUACCAAAUACGUGAAAGGUUUUAUAAACUCUUAGAUGUGAGGGUUGUAAAAUGUACACCCUUGUAAGGGUCUAGCAUAAUUCUGUAACUUUUCGAAAAAAUAUACAAAGACCCCAUGAACUUUAGCUUUUUUGUAAACAGACAUAAAAUUUCAAUUUUGGCAAUUUGCUCCCUUAAACUUUAUCAAAUAGUUUAAAUAAAAACAUAUAGAACUUACCUGAACCAUGAACAAUUUUGACCUAGCUAUCAACAUUUCAAUUUAUUUACUUAAGUCAUGUUAACGGAAUUUUGACUUCAAAAUUUAAGCUAAUUACUUAUUUUAAUGAAUUUAUAGCUGUGAGAAUUGCAUGAGAUAUAAUAACUAAACUUGUAAAAAUAAACAAUGCAUUCAAAUUUUAAAAUCAAAGAGCCGUUGAGUGAUUCAAAUUAAAUAAAUUGAAAAGUUGGAUAAUAAAAUCAAAAUGUGAAAGGCUGGGUAGCCUAUUCAAAAUGG
rnacentral:lncRNA from 1 species